UUGAGAAACAGUAGACAGCUACAAAAUUUUGUCUCGGGGCAAAAUUCCUCCCCCCCUUCUUUUUUGUUUGUCACAUACACUUCCUUUUAAGCUAAGCUUCUCAAGAUUUUACCAAAUUACUUUGCCUCUAAGACCCUGGAAAAGUUGAGACCUUUCACAAAGGUAUUCAUCUUGGAAGUUCACAAAC
rnacentral:lncRNA from 1 species